rnacentral:rRNA from 1 species
UACGGAGGGUGCAAGCGUUAUCCGGAAGCACUGGGUUUAAAGGGUGCGUAGGCGGCCUUGUAAGUCAGAGGUGAAAUCUUCCCGCUUAACGGGAGAACUGCCUUUGAUACUGCAAAGCUUGAAUGAGCACGAGGCAGGCGGAAUGUGGCAUGUAGCGGUGAAAUGCUUAGAUAUGCCAUAGAACACCGAUUGCGAAGGCAGCCUGCCAGAGCUGUAUUGACGCUGAGGCACGAAAGCGUGGGGAGCGAACAGG